rnacentral:piRNA from 1 species
AUAAAUCUCUAAACAUACUUGGUCC